rnacentral:rRNA from 1 species
UGGGGAAUAUUGCACAAUGGGCGCAAGCCUGAUGCAGCAACGCCGCGUGAACGAUGAAGGUCUUCGGAUCGUAAAGUUCUGUUGCAGGGGAAGAUAAUGACGGUACCCUGUGAGGAAGCCCCGGCUAACUACGUGCUAGCAGCCGCGGUAAUACGUAGGGGGUUAGCGUUAUCCGGAUUUACUGGGCGUAAAGGGUGCGUAGGUGGUCUUUCAAGUCGGUGGUUAAAGGCUACGGCUCAACCGUAGUUAGCCUCCGAAACUGGAAGACUUGAGUGCAGGAGAGGAAAGUGGAAUUCCCAGUGUAGCGGUGAAAUGCGUAGAUAUUGGGAGGAACACCAGUAGCGAAGGCGGCUUUCUGGACUGCAACUGACACUGAGGCACGAAAGCGUGGGUAGCAAACAGG